rnacentral:misc_RNA from 1 species
GAACUCUUAUGGAUAAUUAUCUAUUUGAAAGUAACCAUCUAUAGAGACUUAAACAUUUGAAGAGACGUACAAUCUGUUUUUAAUUCCAAUGCUUAUACCAAAUGUUGGCAUAUGUUGUAGUGCUUGGAAUAGAGUUGCGUCUUAUGCAUUGCUUUUAUAUUCCUAGCUUGUAGUCUGGUGGCAUUGGAUCCUGUUUCUCUGGCAUGGAACUCUUAGGAAAGCUUUGGCCACAGUACUUUGAUGAGAAUUAGACAAGGAAUUUUCUUGUUUAUCAUUGUAUAUGGUAUUUUAGCAGUUUGUGCUAGGUAUUAACACAGUUGCUUAUGCAUUGCAUGUUGUUGAAAUUGUUUUAUAAAGUAUACAUGGUUUAUGUACGCUCCUGUUUACUGGUCUAACUUAUCAUCAUGUGG